AAAAGUGAAUACAGCUCAAGUGCCUGAAUUCAGCCUUUUUACGGUGAAUUCGGGAGAAUAGACAAUCGGGUCAAAGUCCCGAACGGUACCGCCGCUGUUGGUGCGUAGGCAAUGUUUUAUUGAUGCAAAUCAGCCAUUGGGAAACUGAGAAGGCAAAACAUUCGCUGUUGAGGCACAAGUCAGAAGACCUGCUUGAGUCGGAUCCUCCUU
rnacentral:ncRNA from 2 species